CUUAUACUCCCUCCGUCCGAAAAAACUUGUCAUCAAAAUUGAUAAAAAUGGAUGUAUUUAAAAUUAAAAUACAUCUAAAUACAUCCCCUUUUAUCCAUUUUGAUGACAAGUAUUUCCGGACGAAGGGAGUAUUUA
rnacentral:pre_miRNA from 1 species